UACGUAGGGUGCGAGCGUUAAUCGGAAUUACUGGGCGUAAAGCGUGCGCAGGCGGUUCGUUGUGUCUGAUGUGAAAGCCCCGGGCUCAACCUGGGAAUGGCAUUGGAAACUGGCGAGCUAGAGUGUGGCAGAGGGGGGUGGGAUUCCGCGUGUAGCAGUGAAAUGCGUAGAGAUGCGGAGGAACACCGAUGGCGAAGGCAGCCCCCUGGGCUGACACUGACGCUCAGGCACGAAAGCGUGGGGAGCAAACAGG
rnacentral:rRNA from 1 species